rnacentral:rRNA from 1 species
CCUACGGGGGGCAGCAGUGGGGAAUAUUACGCAAUGGGCGAAAGCCUGACGCAGCGACGCCGCGUGAGGGAUGAAGGUUUUCGGAUCGUAAACCUCUGUCAGCAGGGAAGAACGGUCACUGUGCUAAUCAGCAGUGAAUUGACGGUACCUGCAAAGGAAGCACCGGCUAACUCCGUGCCAGCAGCCGCGGUAAUACGGAGGGUGCGAGCGUUAAUCGGAAGUACUGGGCGUAAAGCGCUCGUAGGCGGUAUGUCAAGUCAAGGGUGAAAUCCCCGGGCUCAACGUGGGAACUGCCUUUGAAACUGGCAAACUGGAGUGUGUGAGAGGAUAGUGGAAUUCCAGGUGUAGGAGUGAAAUCCGUAGAUAUCUGGAGGAACAUCAGUGGCGAAGGCGACUAACUGGCACAUAACUGACGCUGAGGAGCGAAAGCGUGGGUAGCAAACAGGAUUAGAUACCCGAGUAGUC